UUACAAAGCAGAAUAAAACAUAAAUAAUUCAAAUGUCAAGAUUAUGAAGCUUGCAAACGAGCUAAUAAAUAAGUUUGUGCAAUGAAUUAGCUCACGAAUUUAUUCAACAAGCUCUCCCAAGGUUUUGUUAAAUGAGACAGCUCAUAAACAGGUUCAAUAAACCGGCUCAUGAAUCUGUGAGUUUUUGCAUGAGUUUUUAUGAGCAAAGUAUUAAUAUGCUCAAGCUCCACUCAAUUACUAAGCAAGCUUAGAAUUUAAGUUUGAACUUGAUUUAUUAAAAAAUGAGUCGAACCAAAUUUUAAUUGAGUCGAACCGAUGUAACUUGUAGGGUUCAGCUUAUUUGUUCUCCUAUUUCUCUGUUUUUAUAACUAUUCAAAAAGUGGACAAUGCAAUUAUACUCAAGGGCGGACCCAGCGCAUACCUCAAUUUUUUUUAAAAAAAAUUGAGGUAUGCGCUGGGUCCGCCCUUGAGUAUAAUUGCAUUGUCCACUUUUUGAAUAGUUAUAAAAACAGAGAAAUAGGAGAACAAAUAAGCUGAACCCUACAAGUUACAUCGGUUCGACUCAAUUAAAAUUUGGUUCGACUCAUUUUUUAAUAAAUCAAGUUCAAACUUAAAUUCUAAGCUUGCUUAGUAAUUGAGUGGAGCUUGAGCAUAUUAAUACUUUGCUCAUUAAAACUCAUGCAAAAACUCACAGAUUCAUGAGCCGGUUUAUUGAACCUGUUUAUGAGCUGUCUCAUUUAACAAAACCUUGGGAGAGCUUGUUGAAUAAAUUCGUGAGCUAAUUCAUUGCACAAACUUAUUUAUUAGCUCGUUUGCAAGCUUCAUAAUUUUGACAUUUGAAUUAUUUAUGUUUUAUUCUGCUUUGUAA
rnacentral:misc_RNA from 1 species